rnacentral:tRNA from 1 species
UGCGGGAUAGCUCAGUGGCAGAGCGCGUGGGCUCAUAACCCCGUGGUCGGUGCGUUCGAUUCCACCUCCCGCCUCCA